GGAAGGUGAAUCAUUCAUCUGCAUGGUUUCAAGAAAAACAGUUCAAGCUCCAACUGAUUUGUUUAAUAUAAAUAGUGAUGUAGACUCAAACAACACAUUUGCUAUCAAUAAUAUGGUGGCAGAGCAAUAACAAACUCUUGUAUGGAUUGUUUUGUUAUCUUAUAAUGUGAUAUCUUUAACUAUAAAAAAAGUCACAUUUUUCACAAGGCUAAAUAUUUUAAUUUCAAAAAGUAAGAAAGUCAGUAGACUAACUAUUUAAUAAAUCACCACUACAAGUAGUCUUAAAAGGCAACAAAAAUAGAUAUUCACCUUUUCAAACAAUCAUCCAUUGAACAACACAAAGUGCCUAAAUGCAUCUACAACAAUCUGUUACAACACAAUAUUUAAAUAUAUAUAUUGAUUUACACAUUGAUAUGCCUUAGUCAUUACAACAUAAAAAUAAUACAUUCUAAUUUAUAAAAACUUACGAAAAUAAUUAAAAGUUUAUAACAUGAAGCCACUGAAAUAAAAUGAAUAUUAACACUAUGACUAGGUUAUUCUAAGAGUAAAAAAGAAAAAUAAAAUGAUAAAAAAAAACUCCAACCACUAUUUGGGGAUUAACUCAAUAUAGAAGACUCUAAAAUAUCUAUAUCGAUCUACUCUUUGAGCUUACUUCGACAAUGUCUUAUGUAGUGGUUGAUCUUAUUAAAUUUCUAUAUCGAUUUUUGUCUUAACCCCUUUUAGCUUAAGGUUAUCAUUUGUUAAGUCACCAAAACAUAAAAGUGUGCAUAUUACAUUUGUGUUUUUUUAUUAUAAAACAUCUCUGUAUUAUUUUAACAACUUAUAGGGUAAGCAAAUAGUUAUGAUCCAUUCUUCCAAUUAACUUCCUAUUUUCCUUCUCAUUAUCUUCAAUUUUAACCUUCAAAUUUGUCAAAAAGCACUCUCUUUAAUUCUCAGUGUAAAUCUAUUCUUUAAAGUCAUAGUAAUGAUAAAAAGAUUAUUGUUGAUUCUUUUUUACAAAUUUCCAUUUAAUAUUUAUUAUUAAAAAAAUAUUGAUGAUGAAUAAGAUCACAUUAUAGCAGCUUUAUUUAUCUUAGAGAUGUACAAUUCUCUUCCAGAUUUACAUACCGAGUUGGAGAUGAUAUCUCUUCUGUUCAAAGAACUUAUUACAGAAUACCAUAACUAUUAAGCAGUAUUAUUCAAGUGACAAUAUCUCUACGUAACAUUUUAUCAAAUACCAAAUAGGCAUCAUAAAUUUGUACUCCAAAAACUAACACACAAGUAGUCAAAUAUAAAUAAAUGAAUAAUAAUAACAAUAGAUCACAAGCAAUACAAUAAAAAAUAAUUUGGAAUUCAACAUAACUUCAUACGAUGACAAAUAGAGUACAAACUAUAUCCUUGUAUGCAUUAGAAAGAAAUAAAAGAAAAACCUUACAUACUCCAAGAUGACAGUUGAUGAAGAGACGAGUGUUGGCUGAAGAAGUAAUUUUGUUUUUCAUUGGAUUGAUUGAAGUCUUUCUAGGUUGAAUAGAAAGGCACAAGAAAGUAAAUGCUAAAUAAAAGUAUCAGAUGUGGCUUGUGGGGC
rnacentral:lncRNA from 1 species